rnacentral:rRNA from 1 species
UGGGUGGUAAAUUUCAUCUAAAGCUAAAUAUAGGCUUGAGACCGAUAGCAAACAAGUACCAUGAGGGAAAGAUGAAAAGGACUUUGAAAAGAGAGUUAAAAGUGCUUGAAAUCGCUGAAAGGGAAGCGAAUGGAACCAGUCUUCUGGCUGAGAUUGUUGCGUGCUACUGUGAUGCCUGGCUGCUUCAACGCAAGUGUUGUAGUUAGAGUUGAUCAGCUGUGCGUGAUGUUUCUCAGCUUGUUAGUCAACCUUUGUUCGUGCUUGGGGAUAACUGCAGGUUCCAUGGUCUUCCCUGCGGGGUUGAUCUCGUGCCUGUUAGGACUCAGGUGUGUACACUUGGUGACAAAAUGGUUCUCUUCGACCCGUCUUGAAACACGGACCAAGGAGUCUAGCACAUGUGCAAGUUCACAGGUGGCAAGCCUGCUUGCGCAAUGAAGGUGACUGCUGGGAUAUUUGCACCAGCAACCGACCAAUCAAUUGAGAGAAGUUUGAGUAUGAGCAUAUGUGUU